AUGGGAACGCGAAGAACCUUACCUAGACUUGACAUCUUCUGCAUUAAUCGUAAUGGAUGAAAUCCCUUCGGGGACAGAAUGACAGGUGGUGCAUGGUUGUCGUCAGCUCGUGUCGUGAGAUGUUGGGUUAAGUCCCGCAACGAGCGCAACCCCUACUUAUUAGUUGCUAACAUUAAGUUGAGCACUCUAGUGAGACUGCCCGGGUUAACCGGGAGGAAGGUGGGGAGUGACGUCAAAUCAUCAUGCCCCUUAUGUCUAGGGCUACACACGUGCUACAAUGGUGGGAACAAAGAGAUGCAAGACCGCGAGGUGGAGCUAAACUCAAAACCCCAUCCCAGUUCGGAUUGUAGGCUGAAACUCGCCUACAUGAAGCUGGAGUUGCUAGUAAUCGCGAAUCAGAAUGUCGCGGUGAAUACGUUCCCGGGUCUUGUACACACCG
rnacentral:rRNA from 1 species